AUACGAUGAUUAUUGCGAUGAGUGUUCACACAGAUUGAUGGUUUAUAACGUUAUAGAGAUAGAUGUGGGGCUAUAGCUCAGCUGGGAGAGCGCUUGCAUGGCAUGCAAGAGGUCGACGGUUCGAUCCCGUCUAGCUCCACCAUUACUAAAGGUUUUCAUUUAGAAUCUUUAAUAAUGGUUUCGAAAGAAAUCUGCUCUCUAACAAUUUGGAAAGCUGACAAAACAACAAUUUAUUGUUGUUUGUAAAGUUCUCAAUGUUUGUCUUUAUGACAAACACCAACAAACACAUUCAAGUGUUCUUGGGAAUGUCACUGUUAAGUGACUAUUCGAAAUUGAGUCCGGCAAAAUCAACGCUAUCUCGCUCAUUCAAAUAAUGAGAUAGCAACUUUGGUUGUUUAACAAAGACCCUUUGGGGUUGUAU
rnacentral:tRNA from 1 species